UGGGGAAUCUUGCGCAAUGGACGAAAGUCUGACGCAGCGACGCCGCGUGGGUGAUGAAGGCCUUCGGGUUGUAAAGCCCUGUGGGGAGAGACGAAUAAGUAGAAGUUAACACCUUCUAUGAUGACGGUAUCUCCUUAGCAAGCACCGGCUAACUCUGUGCCAGCAGCCGCGGUAAGACAGAGGGUGCAAACGUUGUUCGGAAUUACUGGGCGUAAAGCGUGUGUAGGCGGCUAUGUAAGUCGGAUGUGAAAGCCCCAGGCUCAACCUGGGAAGUGCACUCGAUACUGCGUAGCUUGAGUAUCGGAGAGGUUGGUGGAAUUCUCGGUGUAGAGGUGAAAUUCGUAGAUAUCGAGAGGAACACCGGUGGCGAAGGCGGCCAACUGGACGAAUACUGACGCUGAGACACGAAAGCGUGGGGAGCAAACA
rnacentral:rRNA from 1 species